UGGAUGUCAUAUUAUCGUAGGAGUGAAUUCUGAAUGCAAAAUAGAGAAAAUCUUUAGGCAUAUCCUUGUGAGUGUGAGCUGACUUAUGAACUUACAAUAAAUGUAGGGGUUUUGUGAUGUUCCUCUUUGGGCUCCCAUCAGCUUCUACAUGUUAUAAUACAUUGAAGCUUCCAACAUACAAACGUGCCUGCACUUUGAGGGCAAAACUUCUAUAUGCCACUAAUGCCAGAUUCGAACCUUCUUAUUAGUUUGUGACACAACGAGAAGAAGUUGAAGGGAGCAUAAGGUCUCUGGAAUUUUGUUGUAUACGCAGAAGUUGAAGGGAGCAUAAGGUCUUUGGAAUAAAGUAAUGGCGGCUCGUGAUCAUGCAAUAGGUGCAUCUCCAGUUUUAUUUGCUCCCAGAUUGUAUAUACACGUUCCUGAAAGAAACUUUAUAAAUAAUAAAACGGACUUUUGUUGUAUAUGCAGUGCUGAAAAAAUCUGUCAAGUGAUCGAACGGACUUUUGUUGUGUAAACGGACUUUUAUCUUUUAAUUGUAAAGGGACACAUUAUUCAAUUCUUGUGGAAUAUAUUCACAUAAUUUGGUC